rnacentral:rRNA from 1 species
AGGACGAACGCUGGCGGCGUGCUUAACACAUGCAAGUCGAGCGGUAAGGCCUUUCGGGGUACACGAGCGGCGAACGGGUGAGUAACACGUGGGUGAUCUGCCCUGCACUUCGGGAUAAGCCUGGGAAACUGGGUCUAAUACCGGAUAUGACCUCAGGUUGCAUGACUUGGGGUGGAAAGAUUUAUCGGUGCAGGAUGGGCCCGCGGCCUAUCAGCUUGUUGGUGGGGUAAUGGCCUACCAAGGCGACGACGGGUAGCCGACCUGAGAGGGUGACCGGCCACGACUGGGACUGAGACACGGCCCAGACUCCUACGGGAGGCAGCAGUGGGGAAUAUUGCACAAUGGGCGAAAGCCUGAUGCAGCGACGCCGCGUGAGGAUGACGGCCUUCGGGUUGUAAACCGUCUUUCAGCAGGACGAAGCGCAAGUGACGGUACCUGCAGAAGAAGCACCGGCUAACUACGUGCCAGCAGCCGC